CUUCUGGUGGGUUCCACUCA
rnacentral:piRNA from 1 species